AGAGUUUGAUCAUGGCUCAGGAUCAACGCUGGCGGCGUGCCUAACGCAUGUAAGUCGCACGGCAAGUCUUCGGACUUGCAGUGGCGAACGGCUGAGGAACACGUACGAACCGGCCCGCUUGUGGGGAAUAACGCACCGAAAGGUGUGCUAAUACCGCGUACGCUCGGCGCCGUAAGGGUGCCGAGGAAAGCCGCAAGGCGCAGGCGGAGGGGCGUGCGGCCCAUCAGGUUGUUGGUGGGGUAAUGGCCUACCAAGCCGGUGACGGGUAGCUGGUCUGUGAGGACGAUCAGCCAGACUGGGACUGCGACACGGCCCAGACACCUACGGGAGGCAGCAGUGGGGAAUCUUGCGCAAUGGGCGAAAGCCUGACGCAGCGACGCCGCGUGAGGGAUGACGGCCUUCGGGUUGUAAACCCCUGUCAGAGGGAAAGAAGGGUGUCGGCGUGAUAACCGUCGGCACUUGACGGUACCUUCAGAGGAAGCCCCGGCCAACUCUGUGCCAGCAGCCGCGGUAAUACGUAGGGUGCAAGCGUUGUCCGGAAUUAUUGGGCGUAAAGAGCUCGUAGGCGGUCUGACGCGUCGGCUGUGAAAACUUGGGGCUCAACUCCGAGCUUGCAGUCGAUACGGGCAGGCUAGAGUUCGGCAGGGGAGACUGGAAUUCCUGGUGUAGCGGUGAAAUGCGCAGAUAUCAGGAGGAACACCGGUGGCGAAGGCGGGUCUCUGGGCCGAUACUGACGCUGAGGAGCGAAAGCGUGGGGAGCGAACAGGAUUAGAUACCCCCGUAGUCC
rnacentral:rRNA from 1 species